rnacentral:rRNA from 1 species
UACGAAGGGUGCAAGCGUUACUCGGAAUUACGUGGCGUAAAGCGCACGUAGGCGGAUCUUUAAGUCAGGGUGAAUACCAACGGCUCAACCUUGGGAACUGACCUUUGAUACUGGGGAUCUCGAGUCCGGAAGAGGUUGGUGGAACUGCGAGUGUAGAGGUAGAAAUUCGUAGAUAUUCGCAAGAACACCAGUGGCGAAGGCGGCCAACUGUCCGG